rnacentral:rRNA from 1 species
GAUUAAGUGUCGUAAGGGCAUUUGGUGGAUGCCUUGGCAUGCACAGGCGAUGAAGGACGUGAUACGCUGCGAAAAGCCGUGGGGAGCUGCGAAUGAGCUUUGAUCCAUGGAUCUCCGAAUGGGGCAACCCACCUUAAAUGCUUGGGAAAUCUGUUCUGUUGGCUUUUGGUUUGGUCGAAGCGAAUGCUUCGCAAGGCCAAGGGCCGUCGCCGGUUAUCCGGCGCGCUGUCCGCAGGCCUUUGGCCGUGAGGACAAACAGGAGAGGUUUCCAAGCAUUGUGAUAAGGUAUCUACACCUGAAUACAUAGGGUGUAAGAAGCGAACGCAGGGAACUGAAACAUCUAAGUACCUGCAGGAAAGGACAUCAACCGAGACUCCGCAAGUAGUGGCGAGCGAACGCGGACCAGGCCAGUGGCAAUUGUGAUUAAAGUGGAACGCUCUGGAAAGUGCGGCCGUAGUGGGUGACAGCCCCGUACGCGUAGAUAUCAUGAUUGUCCUAGAGUAGGGCGGGACACGAGAAAUCCUGUCUGAACAUGGGGAGACCACUCUCCAAGCCUAAGUACUCGUGCAUGACCGAUAGCGAACAAGUACCGUGAGGGAAAGGUGAAAAGCACCCCGACAAGGGGAGUGAAAUAGAACCUGAAACCGGAUGCCUACAAACAGUCGGAGCCCGCAAGGGUGACGGCGUACCUUUUGUAUAAUGGGUCAACGACUUAGUGUAACAAGCAAGCUUAAGCCGGUAGGUGUAGGCGAAGCGAAAGCGAGUCUGAAUAGGGCGAUUUAGUUUGUUGCAUUAGACCCGAAACCGAGUGAUCUAGCCAUGAGCAGGUUGAAGGUUGGGUAACACCAACUGGAGGACCGAACCCGCAUCUGUUGCAAUAGAUUGGGAUGACUUGUGGCUAGGGGUGAAAGGCCAAUCAAACUCGGAAAUAGCUGGUUCUCCGCGAAAUCUAUUUAGGUAGAGCGUCGAGCGAAUACCCCCGGGGGUAGAGCACUGGAUGGGCUAUGGGGACUCACCGUCUUACUGAUCCUAACCAAACUCCGAAUACCGGGGAGUACUACUCGGCAGACACACGGCGGGUGCUAACGUCCGUCGUGAAAAGGGCAACAACCCUAACCUCCAGCUAAGGUCCCCAAGUCAUGGCUAAGUGGGAAAGGAUGUGAGGAUCCCAAAACAACCAGGAUGUUGGCUUAGAAGCAGCCAUCAUUUAAAGAAAGCGUAACAGCUCACUGGUCUAAAUAAGGGUCUUUGCGCCGAAAAUGUAACGGGGCUGAAGCCAUGCACCGAAGCUGAGGAUUUGCGAGCAAUCGCAAGUGGUAGCGGAGCGUUCCGUAAGCCUGUGAAGGGAUACCUGUGAGGGGUCCUGGAGGUAUCGGAAGUGCGAAUGUUGACAUGAGUAACGAUAAAGAGGGUGAGAGACCCUCUCGCCGAAAGACCAAGGGUUCCUGCUUAAAGUUAAUCUGAGCAGGGUUAGCCGGCCCCUAAGGCGAGGCAGAAAUGCGUAGUCGAUGGGAACCACGUUAAUAUUCGUGGGCCUGGUGGUAGUGACGGAUUGCACAAGUUGUUCUGGUUUAUUGGAUUAUCAGGGCAGCGGAGCGGUUCCAGGAAAUAGCUCCACCGUAUAGACCGUACCCGAAACCGACACAGGUGGUCAGGUAGAGUAUACCAAGGCGCUUGAGAGAACUAUGUUGAAGGAACUCGGCAAAUUGCACGCGUAACUUCGGAAGAAGCGUGACCCCAUUUUACGCAAGUAUGAUGGGGUGGCACAGACCAGGGGGUAGCGACUGUUUAUCAAAAACACAGGGCUCUGCGAAGUCGCAAGACGACGUAUAGGGUCUGACGCCUGCCCGGUGCUGGAAGGUUAAGAGGAGAGGUGCAAGCUUUGAAUCGAAGCCCCAGUAAACGGCGGCCGUAACUAUAACGGUCCUAAGGUAGCGAAAUUCCUUGUCGGGUAAGUUCCGACCUGCACGAAUGGCGUAACGACUUCCCCGCUGUCUCCAACAUAGACUCAGUGAAAUUGAAUUCCCCGUGAAGAUGCGGGGUUCCUGCGGUCAGACGGAAAGACCCCGUGCACCUUUACUAUAGCUUUACACUGGCAUUCGUGUCGGCAUGUGUAGGAUAGGUGGUAGGCUUUGAAGCGGGGACGCCAGUUUCCGUGGAGCCAUCCUUGAAAUACCACCCUUAUCGUCAUGGAUGUCUAACCGCGGCCCGUCAUCCGGGUCCGGGACAGUGUAUGGUGGGUAGUUUGACUGGGGCGGUCGCCUCCGAAAGAGUAACGGAGGCGCGCGAUGGUGGGCUCAGACCGGUCGGAAAUCGGUCGUCGAGUGCAAUGGCAUAAGCCCGCCUGACUGCGAGACUGACAAGUCGAGCAGAGACGAAAGUCG